GUUAACCUGAGUGAGAAAUCUUCAAAGAACAGAAUUAACUUCACAGGGAGCUCUGCUGCCUGCCCGGAGCACAGUGUUCCUUGCUCUGUGUUCCGCCUGGAGCACAGUGUUCCUUGCUCUGUGUUCCGCCUGGCGCUUCUCACAUCAUGAACUUGGUUCUGGUUAUUUCUUUACUUCUCAAACUCCCAUGGAUCAUUCUUUCUCUGCAUUGCUUUUUCCAUGGACUGGACAUUGCUAGAGACUGAAUGUGUGUCUCUUCAAAAUUCAUGUUUAAAUCUAACCUCCAAGGUGAUGGUGUCAGGAGGUGGGGCCUUUGGGGGCUGCUGAGGUCAUGAGGGUGGAGCUUUUUGAACGGGUUUAGUACCCAGAGAGCUCUCUUGCCCUUCCACCGUGUGAGGACUCAGCAAGAAUGCGCUAUGGCCCCACCACGCAUCUAUGAACCAGGAAGUGAGUCCUCACCAGACACAGUGUCUCCUGGUGACUUGAUCGUAGGGUUCCAGAGGCUUCCAGAACUGAUUGGACCCAGAGUAACAGAACCUGGACCUCAGCCUCGUCCUGCCUGAGUGUAAAGCACAGGCUCUUCUCAUUAGUGACCUCUUGCUGCUUCCUGUUAUUUACAACCGUAAGCCCCCACUGUCAUGUGAAAGCAGUAUCAUUGUUUUUAUGAAGGAUUCUUUAUGGGUCUUGUUCAGGGCAGCCAAAGGACACUUGCAAGGUUAAGUCAGCAUUUGGGGGAACAACAUUUUCUAUCUCUGAAUAUCUGUUUGACAUCUGGUUUUCUGGGAUCUCAAAAUUUGAAGCAACUGGGACAGUUUUAAGCAGAGGCACAUCUAUAGCUAGAGAACUGAUCAGGAAAUCAUUUGGUUUAAGAAUUGGGUCCCUAAGAUCUCCUGAACCGUCUGUCACUCUUAGAUGGUGGAGGACACCUAGAACAGAGAACAGGAA
rnacentral:lncRNA from 1 species